GGGGAAUUUUCCGCAAUGGGCGCAAGCCUGACGGAGCAACGCCGCGUGAGGGAUGAAGGCCUCUGGGCUGUAAACCUCUUUUCUCAAGGAAGAAGAUCUGACGGUACUUGAGGAAUAAGCCACGGCUAAUUCCGUGCCAGCAGCCGCGGUAAUACGGGAGUGGCAAGCGUUAUCCGGAAUUAUUGGGCGUAAAGCGUCCGCAGGCGGCCUUGAAAGUCUGUUGUUAAAGCGUGGAGCUUAACUCCAUUUCAGCAAUGGAAACUACAAGGCUAGAGUGUGGUAGGGGCAGAGGGAAUUCCCGGUGUAGCGGUGAAAUGCGUANAUAUCGGGAAGAACACCAGUGGCGAAGGCGCUCUGCUGGGCCAUAACUGACGCUCAUGGACGAUAGUAAUAGGAGNGNNNGGGNUUAGAUACCCCUNNNGUC
rnacentral:rRNA from 1 species